UAUGCUUCUCCUAAAGACUAAGCCAUGCAUGCCUUCGAAUACGAGGAAGCAAUUCUCUCUGAAUCUGCGAACGGCUCCGCAAACCAGUUGUAAACCAAAGCAAGCAUACUCGUGGCUUGCCCUUCACGGGGCAGGUUGCGGGUGAUACGGAUAACCCUGGUAAUUCUGAGGCUAAUACGAGACUAUAAUCCCUGGCGGACCGGGCAACUGGGAAGCUGGGGGGCGUGCGAUCUAUUUGCAAGACGAUACCAGGAAGGGGUGCACGCUCUGACCGCGAUAAAGACGGUUCCGGUAAACCUUCGGGCGAGCUGGUUCCGAGCGGCUCUUGCGAUGUGCUUCUGACCUAUCAACUAGAUGGCAGCGUAACGGACAUGCCAUGGUUACAACGGGUACAGAGGAUUAGGGUUCGAUCCUGGAGAGUGGGCCUGAGAGAUUGCUCAUACUUCUAAGGAAGGCAGCAGGCGCGCAACGUUCCCCUUGGGCAAUGCCCGAGGGCGUUAGGGGACAUAUGAAUGGUUGCCUUUUAGGUGGCCAAUUCAAAUGGGUCUGUUCUAAACAGCCUCUCGAGUAACAAUUAGAGGA
rnacentral:rRNA from 1 species